rnacentral:rRNA from 1 species
GCCGGUGCUUAUUCUGUCGGUAACGUCAAAACAAUAACGUAUUAGGUUACUGCCCUUCCUCCCAACUUAAAGUGCUUUACAAUCCGAAGACCUUCUUCACACACGCGGCAUGGCUGGAUCAGGCUUUCGCCCAUUGUCCAAUAUUCCCCACUGCUGCCUCCCGUAGGAGUCUGGACCGUGUCUCAGUUCCAGUGUGACUGAUCAUCCUCUCAGACCAGUUACGGAUCGYAGCCUUGGUGAGCCAUUACCUCACCAACUAGCUAAUCCGACCUAGGCUCAUCUAUUAGCGCAAGGCCCGAAGGUCCCCUGCUUUCUCCCGUAGGACGUAUGCGGUAUUAGCGUUCCUUUCGAAACGUUGUCCCCCACUAAUAGGCAGAUUCCUAGGCAUUACUCACCCGUCCGCCGCUGAAUCGAAGAGCAAGCUCUUCUCAUCCGCUCGACUUGCAUGUGUUAGGCCUGCCGCCAGCGUUCAAU